AGCGAACGCUGGCGGCAGGCUUAACACAUGCAAGUCGAACGCCAUCUUCGGAUGGAGUGGCAGACGGGUGAGUAACGCGUGGGAACGUACCCUUUGGUUCGGAAUAUUCUCGGGAAACUGGGAGCAAUACCGGAUAAGCCCUACGGGGGAAAGAUUUAUCGCCAAAGGAGCGGCCGAUGUCAGAUUAGCUAGUUGGUGGGGUAAAGGCCCACCAAGGCGACGAUCUGUAGCUGGUCUGAGAGGACGACCAGCCACACUGGAACUGAGACACGGUCCAGACUCCUACGGGAGGCAGCAGUGGGGAAUUUUGGACAAUGGGCGCAAGCCUGAUCCAGCCAUUCCGCGUGCAGGAUGAAGGCCCUCGGGUUGUAAACUGUCUUUUGUACGGAACGAAAAGGUUUCUAUUAAUACUAGGAGCUCAUGACGGUACCGUAAGAAUAAGCACCGGCUAACUACGUG
rnacentral:rRNA from 1 species